CGUGGCUUUGCAGGCUCUGGUUGAAAAAAAGUAGCGCGUUUGGAUAGUGGCCGGUCACAGUACUAUGAAACUCAGGCUCGUGCACGAGGGGAUCCCAUGCUUUUAUUUUCUCUCUCUUUGUACGUAUACACGCUUUCCCAGUCGGAAUAUUAUCGCUUUUUUUUUAGAAAAAUGGCAUAAAAAUUGAUUUUAAACAGCGGUUGACAUGCUUCGAAGUACGGUAAUGGAAUAUUUAGAAAAUUUUUGUCACGAAAUGCGUCGUGCGCGUGACCCUUAUUUACACUUCGGAUAGUGUCUAUUUUGAACCAAACCAACAUUUGUUAUUGAAGUAGCAGUCCUGGGAGUGCAUUCUGACGAAGAACACCAAAGGACCUGAGCCCUAGGACCAUGCCUCAGGACUACCUGGCAUGAUGACUCCUUGUUGUCCCCAGUCCACCUGGCCGUGCUGCUGCUCCAGUUUCAACUGUUCUGCCUGCGGCUAUGGAACCCUGACCUGUUCACUGUGAUUACUAUUAUUUGACCAUGCUGGUCAUUUAUGAACAUUUGAACAUCUUGGCCAUGUUCUGUUAUAAUCUCCACCUGGCACAGCCAGAAGAGGACUGGCCACCCCUCAUAGCCUGGUUCCUCUCUAGGUUUCUUCCUAGGUUUUGGCCUUUCUCGGGAGUUUUUUCCUAGCCACCCUGCUUCUACACCUGCAUUGUUUGCUGUUUGGGGUUUUAGGCUGGGUUUCUGUACAGCACUUUGAUAUAUCAACUGAUGUAAGAAGGGCUAUAUAAAUACAUUUGAUUUGAACUCCUAGCCAUGAGCAGUGGCAUUGUAGCCAUGGCAGUCCUUUACCUCUGUCUCUACCUGUCUCUAAUGAUGCGGACGACUGUGCUGGAAUACAGCAGGGGGGAACUGGGUCUCUCCUAACGAGGACUUUCUCAGAGAGAGGGUGGUCAGAGAUGGGAGGGCCAGGGAGGUCAAACAACACCACAGCAAGAGAGACAUUCCUCAUUCUAGCCCUCCAAACGAGCUAAUAACUGUGAUUAGCUGAUGCUACAGAAACCACUGAGGAGAGGGAGUCUUGGUGGCCCUGCUGGUUCCAUGGUGAAUGUCCUACAUCAAAUGUAAGCAGAAGAGGGGGUGUGUUAAUAGGAUUAUUGCCACAGCUGUGAUGCAGUCAAAGGAAAGAGGCGUAGCCAGAAGAAUUGACAAGUUCAAAUGGUAUACCAGUCAAUUGCUACAGACCAUACAGUGUAAAGACCUCCUGUACUCACAGAUGGAUUGUGGUAGCGACUGGCCUGCUGUUUGCUCUAUGGCCACCCCUCUGUUGUUGAGGUGGAUAGGAGUAUUUAUUGACCACCUGUCACCCCACCACUCCCCCUCAGCAGACCCCUUAAUAAACACUUCAGGGGCCCAGGGCUGGUGGUCAUGAAACCAAAGGAUUAAGACCUUGUCUUUGCCAGACACCGACCUCAGAUGAAUAGGACCAGACUGUUGAAAUGAAAUGUUUAUGGUGGUGGACAGUCUUGGUUGUAGAUUUUACUUUUCUUUCUGACAUGCGUUUGUAUUUUUUUCAUAAUCCAUUUAGACAAAUCCAUUUAGAAUUUUCAGUCUUCCCAUACAUUGUGUAACAGUUUGUUGGAGAGGGGUAGCUUUCUCACUUUACCUGUGAUGAAUCAGUCAUUUUAACAGGUAACAGCCUGGAAAAUGUUCUUGACGUACUUCGAUGUGAUUUGAUGUAUAUCCUCUCACUGAAUAGAUGUACGCAAGUAUUGCCAGUUAUUAAAUUCAUUAAUUGACUACAUUUUAAUUGCCAGUCAUGGAGAUUGAUUUCGGUACGUAUAAACUUGACUUUUCAAUAUUUGGG
rnacentral:lncRNA from 1 species